GAUGAACGCUAGCGGCAGGCCUAAUACAUGCAAGCCGAACGGCAAGUUUGAUAGCAAUAUUGGACCUAGAGUGGCGCAAGGGUGCGUAACACGUAUGCAACCUGCCCGCGACAGGAGGAUAGCUCCCCGAAAGGGGAAUUAACCCUCCAUAACACCAUGAGAGGGCAUCGAAUAAUGGUUAAACCGAAAGGGGUCGGGUAGGGUCAUGCGGUGGAUUAGCUAGUAGGCGGGGUAAAGGCGAACCAGGGCGGUGACCACCAGGGGCUCGGAGAGGAAGGUCCCCCACACUGGAACUGAGAUACGGGACAGGCUCCUACGCAAGGCAGCGGUAGGGAAGAUAGGACGAUGGUUGCAAGACUGAUCAAGCCAUGCAGCGUGCAUGAAGAAGGCCUUCUUGAUCGUAAACUGCUUUUUCCUGUGAAUAAAAUACCAGUGCGCGGGGAAUUGAAGGUAACAGAGGAAUAAGCCACGGCUAACUACGUG
rnacentral:rRNA from 1 species